ACGGUCAGUGUGUCAUGGAAAGAGCAGGUGUUCUUAAUGUUUUGUACGGUCAGUGUGUCAUGGAAAGAGCAGGUGUUCUUAAUGUUUUGUACGGUCAGUGUGUCAUGGAAAGAGCAGGUGUUCUUAAUGUUUUGUACGGUCAGUGUGUCAUGGAAAGAGCAGGUGUUCUUAAUGUUUUGUACGGUCAGUGUGUCAUGGAAAGAGCAGGUGUUCUUAAUGUUUUGUACGGUCAGUGUGUCAUGGAAAGAGCAGGUGUUCUUAAUGUUUUGUACGGUCAGUGUGUCAUGGAAAGAGCAGGUGUUCUUAAUGUUUUGUACGGUCAGUGUGUCAUGGAAAGAGCAGGUGUUCUUAAUGUUUUGUACGGUCAGUGUGUCAUGGAAAGAGCAGGUGUUCUUAAUGUUUUGUAUGGCCAGUGUAUGUUUACUUCAUGUAUUGCAUGCCUAAAAUGUUGACUGUUGGAAUCAAAUGAGUUAAAGGCUCAUGA